UACAUGUAGUGAACUAAUGCUAUCAUCAUCUAAUUUCAGAAUACACUGAAAUGUUGACAUUAAAAAAACUACACUUUGAUCUUCAAAACUGCAGAGUUUGGGUUUCAGCAGCAAAAGAAACCACCUCCAUGUGCAGAGCAUCCAGCCAUGCUCACUUGGCAAACUGCCACUGGGAAGUAACAUGUGAAACUCUCAGCAAGGUUGCACAGGACUAGAAGUUAUGUAAAACAGCUGGACUGAAAUACAACAUUCUGUUCAGAAGCCUGAAUGGCCUGCAGCACAAUUCCAGUGUAUUCUGAUGGUAUGUCUAAACAAAGACACUACUUCACAAUGACAACUACUGUACCAUGACAUUGCUCUGCUGGCUCCAAUUUUCCCAGCACAGAUAACAGCAGUGAAGCCAUGGCAGUACAGGUGCCUAAAAAAACCUUGGGCUUGAAAUCACACUCACUUUUGCCCUUGUUACUUCACCUCUACUGCCAUUGUUACUCAUUUUUAGCCAGCUUCUAGUCAGGCACACUUUCUUUUUGCAGCUGAGACAUUCUAUAGGUUAUAAACCUUGUUAAUUAUGUUAGGAAUUUUUUCCUAGAAAGUUGUUCUUACUUUCCUCCACUGGUAUUACUGUUCCAGAGACCUGUGCUUCAACUAUUAAGAUUUCAUUAAGAGAAAAAUCACUGUUCCAGAUCAUUUCAAACUCUGCUUUUGACUUCAGUAUGAUUAAUUGACUAACUUUCCUUUAUUAAUACAUUACAACAGUCAAGUAAUCAACUGACAUCUCUGCCAUGCUCUUGAGCCAACUCAGACCAGCCCCCUUACAUGGAUAGUCUCAAACAUGAAGUUAGUUUCCAGCAUGAAGUACAAACCCCACCUUUUGCCUUGUCCAUCUCUGGCUGAAGUAUACUUUGAGCAUAUCAUCAACUCAGUGUGUCAUGAAGACAGAUCAGCAGGGGUUGCAAAAAGGCAACAUGACCACUUUAUUUGAUAGGAACAGAGUGCAGGUGCAACUGCUGCUGCUCAAAGGGUUUCUCCAGAAAUCAUUUCAGGUAAGUUAAACUUUACAGUACGACCUCUGACUGCCAAUUCAGGGUUCAGUAUCAGUGUUCUGGUUCAGUUUUGCUGAUUGCUGGCACGAAAGCAUUGCAUGAUACAACUGAUUUUAAUUUUGAAUGGCCAAGAUACAACACUUGACUUCACAGUAUCAUAGAGCAGACAUUUAUUUUUAUUCCCAAACAUGUGGUAUCUUUAGCAUGAGAUGGAGUUAGUCAAUCAACAUGCAAGUGUGACAUUUUGGAGGGAGUUUAGGAAUCUCACCAUACUUAGCAUAUGCACACUAUUUUUUAGGCAUCUGUUUCAAUUAGAUGAAAAAUGUAUUUUUAUAGUUGAAAUGGAAUGUCUUUCCAGUAGUCUUCCAGUUGUCCACAUUAUUAAAAAUGUGGCUCAGCACCAACACAACUGUGAUAUAUUCAAAGCCAGUUAACUGGCUUUACAGAAUUAUCAUUUAUGCUACCCAAGUAAUUUUUUCCAGUAUCUCUGCAGCUAAUAUUUUAAAUAGUUCAACAGAAUUAAAAAUAUGACAUUUUACAUGUUCUAUAAAUCGACUUUCCCUUUAAUUAAUCCAGAGCAAUUUGUUAGAAUCUUAUCUUUCCAGUUUUUCCUUUACUAGUUAUUUGAUUCCUGUUCCACAAUUCCAUGUGCUGUCAGGUGGAGCACUUCAGCUGAUUUUGUACAGUCUAUAUGGAAUGACCCAAAAGAAGAUAUCUGCUUUUAAAGCAAAGCCUCAGGCAACUCUGCUGCCAGGGGUCACUCCAGCACUUAUGCUGACCCAAAGGCAGAGGUGCUGUGAUAGCAAAUAUCCCAGCAAACUCCCCACCCCUUAUUUUAAUUCAUUAACUGUUCCUACCCCAUCCCCUAAAACAGAUUCCUGCUGCCCAUACCCCAGCCUUAACUGCACUAGAAACUACUACUACUCCAAACUAAGUAUUGUGUUUAAAAGUACUAAGUGCAAGGUUGCCCACAUUUUCAUAGUGCACUUCAUUUCUCCAGCACGGUGGUUUAUUGCAUCACAAACACACCAGUGAACUAUGCAGGGAACUAAAGCUCUUCUCCUCUGUGGGACAUCUUCUGAGGAGCACCAGCACUGCCCCUCCCGUGCCCACUGGGUGGCACUGCAAGCAGGCCCAAGGCACUUCAUGUCUUACUUAUUGCAGAAUUUACUUUUUAUCCUAAAUUUAUCUCUAAAACGUCUUGUAUGAAGCUACAGCUUCCCUGUGCAGGAUGGUAGCUGUAACUUCGAAGGCAGCACAGACAAGCCUUAAGGUCUGAGACACGAGAACUCAGGGCUUUGAGCUCAUGUGUGAAAGGCUGCAACAUUAUGUCCACCUGACUGAUUCACUGCAAUACUGUGGCACAGGCCAGUUUUUCUUGCUUCCCAUCUCUCAAGUCAUCCUGCACAUUACCACAGUCUGACUUCUUCCAGAAUUCAAGCUGGCCCAUUUAAACAUACUUGGAUAUUCACAGCAGUGUGGACAUUUCCUCAUAUUUUUAAAAUGCUAAGUCAAAAGACAGAAUUUAGGAUCCUAAAAGUCUUCAAACUCAUUAGUUUAUUAGUGAUAAUACAUUCAGCAGAAAACACUGCAGGCAUUCUACCAAACAAACCAAUUUUAGUACUGAAACAAAGUUCUACAUGGGGGGAAAAAAAAAUAAAAGCCCUUCAUUUAGGGUUGGAUGAAACAUACCUGCUCU